GAAGCUCAGUUGGUAAAGCACUCGUCUAGCAUACUAGAGUCGUGGGUACGAUUCCCACC
rnacentral:tRNA from 1 species